rnacentral:rRNA from 1 species
UACGGAGGGUGCAAGCGUUAUCCGGAUUUAUUGGGUUUAAAGGGUGCGUAGGCGGACUAUUAAGUCAGUGGUGAAAGCCCCAAGCUUAACUUGGGAACUGCCAUUGAUACUGAUGGUCUUGAGUACAUUUGAGGUGGGCGGAAUGUGUCAUGUAGCGGUGAAAUGCUUAGAUAUGACACAGAACACCGAUUGCGAAGGCAGCUCACUAAACUGUAACUGACGCUGAGGCACGAAAGCGUGGGGAGCAAACAGG